GUGGGGAAUUUUGGACAAUGGGCACAAGCCUGAUCCAGCAAUGCCGCGUGCAGGAAGAAGGCCUUCGGGUUGUAAACUGCUUUUGUACGGAACGAAACGGUCCUGGCUAAUAUCCGGGGCUAAUGACGGUACCGUAAGAAUAAGCACCGGCUAACUACGUGCCAGCAGCCGCGGUAAUACGUAGGGUGCGAGCGUUAAUCGGAAUUACUGGGCGUAAAGCGUGCGCAGGCGGUGCUGUAAGACAGGCGUGAAAUCCCCGGGCUAAACCUGGGAAUUGCGCUUGUGACUGCAGUGCUGGAGUGCGGCAGAGGGGGAUGGAAUUCCGCGUGUAGCAGUGAAAUGCGUAGAUAUGCGGAGGAACACCGAUGGCGAAGGCAAUCCCCUGGGCCUGCACUGACGCUCAUGCACGAAAGCGUGGGGAGCAAACAGGAUUAGAUACCCCUGGUAGUCC
rnacentral:rRNA from 1 species